UGUGUAAGCGUUGUGAGGCGUUGAGCUAACCAGUACUAAUUGCCCGUGAGGCUUGACCAUAUAACACCCAAACA
rnacentral:rRNA from 1 species